CCUCGGGCGGCCGCCGUGGGGGAUAUUGCACAAUGGGCGAAAGCCUGAUGCCGCCACGCCGCGUGAGGGAAGACGGUUUUCGGAUUGUAAACCUCUGUCUUUGGUGAAGAAAGAAAUGACGGUAGCCGAGGAGGAAGCCACGGCUAACUACGUGCCAGCAGCCGCGGUAAUACGUAGGUGGCAAGCGUUGUCCGGAAUUACUGGGUGUAAAGGGAGCGCAGGCGGGAGAGCAAGUCAGCUGUGAAAACUAUGGGCUUAACCCAUAAACUGCAGUUGAAACUGUUUUGCUUGAGUGGAGUAGAGGUAGGCGGAAUUCCGAGUGUAGCGGUGAAAUGCGUAGAUAUUCGGAGGAACACCAGUGGCGAAGGCGGCCUACUGGGCUCUAACUGACGCUGAGGCUCGAAAGUGUGGGGAGCAAACA
rnacentral:rRNA from 1 species